CCGUGCUAAGCGGGGAGGUAGCGGUGCCCUGUACUCGCAAUCCGCUCUAGCGAGGCUGAAUCCCUUCUCGAGGUUAGUCUGUUGUGAGGUCUGUCUCAAGCAAGUGGUGUUGACGUCUGGGUCCCGCGCAAUGGGAUUCCGUGAACCCUGUCAGGUCCGGAAGGAAGCAGCAGUAAGCGGAUGCUCCCAUGUGCCGCGGGGGUGCCUGGGCUGAGCUAACUACUUGAGCAACGCUCGGGGCAGCUAAUCGACAGAAGGUGCACGGC
rnacentral:SRP_RNA from 1 species